CAAAAAAUCGCUUUUUUUUUUUGCUUUAAAUAGUUCCUUAGGGUCUCAGAAAUAACAUAUUGCAGGAUUAUGGCUCGGAAAAAUCUCUAAAUAAUUUAUUUUCGAAGUUCCUUGCAAGGCUGCACGGUACGCGGCGAGCUCAUUUUGUCAGUUCUACGGGGGGUGAUCUUUGAAGGAUCUACAGCAGGUAUACGGCAGAUGUUUUCAAAGGCGCUAGUUACUUGCUAGACUAUAGUGGUCAAUUAUAUGGUGCAGGCAUUGCAGAUUAAAGGAGCAGUUAGUUCGGCCACGUACCCCUUGAACCAUAGAGGAGUCGAAGGACGACCGCUACAGCGCCACCAUUCUUCAAGAAAUAUUUAUAAGAAAUUAUUUUUUUACACCUAAAAAGAUGUAUAAUAAACUUCUUAUAUUAUAUUUUUAA